rnacentral:lncRNA from 1 species
UAGUAGGCUUGAGAGGGAGGCCUGGCUAAGGCCUAUUCACUUGUGGUUCCUUCUUCCUGAGAUAAGGAAUGCUCCAGAGAGCUUUGGCAGGCAAAGGCCUUUUAUAAGGUGAGCCAGCACCAGAGAUACCUAGAAGGAAGAGAAGUUUGCAGUGGGUCAGGCAAUGGACACAAAACCCACGGGAGAGCACAAAAAAGGGGUUACAGACAGGAGUGUGGGUGCUCCCUCCCAAAGGCUCCACCGGAGUCAUUGCUUUCCCAUAGUUGCAGAAUGGAGGCCUCACCUAAGUCUCACCAGCAACGCACUCUAGCCUUGCUCUGCACAGCAGUCAGGGCAGAACCGCACACGUGUGGCAUGGAAUGACUAGAUACUCAGUGUUAGGGGCGGAACCCACACUUUAGUGUUGGCCAAGCACUCCACCCCAGCCUGUCCUUAGUAUACUGAAAUGUGUGUACAUAUGCACUGCUGGAAGAAAACACCCAUAUAAGCAGCUAGUACAGCAAAUUGAGAAAGGGCCUCCAGGAAAGGGAAGCUGACCCAUCGGGCGGGCAGCAGUUGAGUGAGGUACAGAAGCUGCCAGCUGAGGGACUGGGUGAAGUCUUGACUCAACAAGAUUGAAAAGCAAGAGAGACAUCCAGGGUGGACAAGCUCAAUCUGGGACUGGACAGUUAGGAAUUGCUUCUUUUUAAAAACCCCAAAGUGGAAUUCUCAUUUCUCCAAGAUGAUGUACAGACCUUCAGAGAAAUCUGGACUGAUACCCCGAGUGCUGAGACCAUGAAGACAGGACACUUUUGGGGGACAGGAUGUCCUCUCACUGUACUCCUUAAAACUUUUCAGCCUGCCCUCUAGAGAUCAAAUCUUCAAUAAACAUUUACCUCAGAGAAGGGCAACCCUGGACAUAAAGCCAAACGCCUGCAAAACACGGAGUCCAGAGCAGUUAGUUACCUGCCCCGCCCUGCGCUCUGGAGCUGGGAGACCCCAGAGCCGCCCAACCAGAUAAAGGCUUGCUGGCCUGCUGGGGAAGCCUGAGAAAUCACAGGGGAAGAAGGGCUGCUCUCUGCAAGCCAGGGCACCAGGGCAGCAGACUGCGAGGUGGGGAAGCAAUCUGGCUCAAAUAAACAAACCAGGAAAUGAGUGUCACC